GACGAACCGUCCAAACGUUAUUCGGAAUUACUGGGCUUAAAGGGUGCGUAGGCGGCGAGGAAAGUAGGGUGUGAAAUCCCUCGGCUUAACCGAGGAACUGCGCUCUAAACUACCUUGCUCGAGGGAGACAGAGGUGAGCGGAACUUAGGGUGGAGCGGUGAAAUGUGUUGAUAUCCUAAGGAACACCGGUGGCGAAGGCGGCUCACUGGGUCUCUUCUGACGCUCAUGCACGAAAGCUAGGGGAGCAAACGGG
rnacentral:rRNA from 1 species